ensembl:snoRNA
GCAGAGGUUUGGAUUUAUGGCAGGCCUGUCCCCCUGGGCCUCUCAUAGUGCCCCAUGCCAGAGCAAAUUGUGGCUCCGAACCAUUGUUUGGCCUCAUAAGCUGCAGGCACUGAAGUGGGUUGCACAGUG